rnacentral:tRNA from 1 species
GGGGAUGUGGCUCAUUGAUACAGUGUUUACCUCGGAUGCAGGAGGGUCUGGGUUCAAUUCCCAGCAUUGCAA